rnacentral:misc_RNA from 1 species
AAUUACUAUUUUUGGAACUGCAAGUUUCUGACAUUUUAGCAUUAACCAUAUUGUCAUAAUUGAUAAUGGUGAAUGAUGAUUGAUUGAGAUAAAAAAUUGCUUUCUUAGAUGAUUACUUUCCAUUUGUUUGCCCUUCUAUAUUUGCUUUGGGACUUGUUUUAUUGGUUUUGGAUAUGCUAACUUUGUUUGAUAAUUUCCUUGUUGAACAAAAUGUUGAAAUACUUUGUGGAUUAGGGAACUUGAAGGAAAGUUGGGGAUUUUUGAAUUUGCUGUAAAGAUUCAAAUUUUGUAUUUCAAUUAAUGUUGAGCCACCUAUUUAUGCUUUGCAUUCUUUGA